CCACUUCCUUUAACACCAUAAUCAGGCAGGUGGUUUUCCUAGCAUGAGGCUCAUCCCUUGCACUCCGGGUGUGCUGACCCCUGCGAUUUCCCCAAAUGUGGGAAACUCCACUGAAUGAUUUGUGGCCAUUCAGUGGUUGUUACUGUU
ensembl:snRNA U1 U1 spliceosomal RNA